rnacentral:rRNA from 1 species
CGCGAAAACUUUACAAUGCGGGAAACCGUGAUAAGGGGACACCGAGUGUCAGCAUCAUAUGCUGGCUGUCCAGGUGUGUAAAAUACACCUGUUAGCAAGGGCCGGGCAAGACCGGUGCCAGCCGCCGCGGUAACACCGGCGGCCCGAGUGGUGAUCGUGAUUAUUGGGUCUAAAGGGUCCGUAGCCGGUUUGGUCAGUCCUCCGGGAAAUCUGAUAGCUUAACUAUUAGGCUUUCGGAGGAUACUGCCAGACUUGGAACCGGGAGAGGUAAGAGGUACUACAGGGGUAGGAGUGAAAUCUUGUAAUCCCUGUGGGACCACCUGUGGCGAAGGCGUCUUACCAGAACGGGUUCGACGGUGAGGGACGAAAGCUGGGGGCACGAACCGGAUUAGAUACCCGGGUAGUCCCAGCCGUAAACGAUGCUCGCUAGGUGUCAGGCAUGGCGCGACCGUGUCUGGUGCCGCAGGGAAGCCGUGAAGCGAGCCACCUGGGAAGUACGGCCGCAAGGCUGAAACUUAAAGGAAUUGGCGGGGGAGCAC